GUGGCAUCUGAUGCUUAUUGCACCACAUGUGUUUUUCUUUGAAACAAACUUGCUUUGGCGGUGGGCCCAGCCUGCCGCCAGAGGUCUAAACUUACAACCAAUUUUUUAUCAACUUGUCACACCAGAUUAUUACUUAAUAGUCAAAACUUUCAACAACGGAUCUCUUGGUUCUCGCAUCGAUGAAGAACGCAGCGAAAUGCGAUACGUAAUAUGAAUUGCAGAUAUUCGUGAAUCAUCGAAUCUUUGAACGCACAUUGCGCCCUCUGGUAUUCCGGAGGGCAUGCCUGUUUGAGCGUCGUUUCUCCCUCAAACCGCUGGGUUUGGUGUUGAGCAAUACGACUUGGGUUUGCUUGAAAGACGGUAGUGGUAAGGCGGGAUCGCUUUGACAAUGGCUUAGGUCUAACCAAAAACAUUGCUUGCGGCGGUAACGUCUACCACGUAUAUCUUCAAACUUUGACCUCAAAUCAGGUAGGACUACCCGCUGAACUUAAGCAUAUCAAAAGCCGGAGGAA
rnacentral:rRNA from 1 species